CAACCUAUCGGAAUUACAGAAACACCGGAGCACCCUCGCUAUUUAUGGUUUACAUCUAUUUAAGACGAAACUACAGACAGCUAUUAAAGGUAAAAAAACAAAAAGCUGAGAGAUUGGCCUGGUGUAAUUUAGUGAAGGCCUCGAAUGAGAAAGACUCAACCUCCUUCUGGCGUACCAUUACGGGCCUCCUGGGCCAGGAGCGGAUUGGUCCCAUAUGUACUGUAGAACCCCAGGAGUGGAUGAAAUAUUUUCAAACCCUCUUCUAUGACGACAAAGCUCAGCACAAUGAUCCAAGUGCCUACCCCGAGAACUUACCAUAUUGGCCUCCUGUCUCCAUAGAGGAGGUGGGGAAUCUAAUUGCCCAACUGAAAAACAACAAAGCCCCGGGCAUAGACCACAUUCCAGCAGAGCUCAUGAAGAACAAUAUCAGUUGGUGGGCUCCUAUAAUGGCGUCAAUAUUUACAUACAUCGAUUCAACAGGCAUAAUCCCUGGUUGCUGGACAGAGGCAGUAAUCAUCCCAAUCUACAAAAAGGGUCCUAUGGCAGAUCCAGCGAGCUAUAGACCCAUUAGCCUCCUUACUAUCCCCAGCAAAUUGUAUGCCAAACACCUCCACAUCAAACUAAUUGACUGGAUGGAAACUGAGGCAGUUCUGGCAGAGUAGCAAGCCGGCUUCAGACAGGGCAGAACAACAAUAGACCAUUGCUUCAUAUUAGCACACCUCAUUGACAAAUACGUCAAUAAAACAUGUGGGAUUCUAUACGCAGCAUUUAUUGACCUGAAAGCGGCCUUUGACUCGAUCUCACGAGUCAAACUUUGGGCUAAACUCAAUGCUACCAACAUUGAUAAAAGAUUACUAUUCUUGAUAAAAAGCCUAUAUAAAGACUCCAAGUUAUAUGUAAGAACCUCAGUAAAUGGGCAACUAAUUGGCCCUGUACCAGCCACCAAAGGAGUCAAGCAGGGCUGUAUUUUAGCCCAGGCCUUAUUCAACUUAUAUAUAAAUGACAUGGUCAAAUACCUAACAUCCCCGGAGUUUCAUGCCCCCAAACUGGCUGAAAAAUCAAUUUCAGCGCUCCUCUAUGCGGACGACGCGGUUCUCUUAUCACGAACUAAAGUAGGCCUCAAAAGGCUACUAAGAGAAUUCUCAGCCUACUGUAGGAGAGAUCAACUGGUGGUUAAUCACCAAAAAACCAAAGUCAUGGUCUUCGCUAGGAGACACAGACAUCACAGAUGGGAGAUGGACAAUCAGCCAAUAGAA